GGACGAACGCUGGCGGCGUGCUUAACACAUGCAAGUCGAACGAGAAUCUACUGAAAGAGUUUUCGGACAAUGGAAGUAGAGGAAAGUGGCGGACGGGUGAGUAACGCGUGAGGAACCUGCCUUGAAGAGGGGGACAACAGUUGGAAACGACUGCUAAUACCGCAUGACGCAUAGAGGUCGCAUGAUCUUUAUGCCAAAGAUUUAUCGCUGAAAGAUGGACCCGCGUCUGAUUAGCUUGUUGGUGAGGUAACGGCCCACCAAGGCGACGAUCAGUAGCCGGCCUGAGAGGGUGAACGGCCACAUUGGGACUGAGACACGGCCCAAACUCCUACGGGAGGCAGCAGUGGGGAAUAUUGCACAAUGGGGGAAACCCUGAUGCAGCGACGCCGCGUGAGUGAUGAAGUAUUUCGGUAUGUAAAACUCUAUCAGCAGGGAAGAUAAUGACGGUACCUGACUAAGAAGCACCGGCUAAAUACGUG
rnacentral:rRNA from 1 species